ensembl:lncRNA
GGUUGAUUUGUCUCGCUACGUAUGAAUUCAUCCAUCCCUCCACCCGUGCAACAGAUGUUUGCUAAGCAUCUACUCUGUGCUACACACGGCUCUGGGUACCCGGCUUCCAUCUACAACAGCAAACAAGGCAGAUGAAUCCCUGCCUUCACGGAACCAACUUUCUGGGAAGGACGAGUGGACAAUUAACAAUUCCUCUGGCUUACUAUGGGGAGCAGAGCAGCCAGCAGAGACCAGCAAGGAGGCUGCAGGUGAGGGUGGUCAUGGCUUGGAGCAAGGCGGUGGCCGCGGAGGUGG